UACAGAGGUCUCAAGCGUUGUUCGGAUUCAUUGGGCGUAAAGGGUGCGUAGGCGGCGCGGUAAGUCGGGGGUGAAAGCUCGGGGCUUAACUCCGAAACUGCAUUCGAUACUGCCGUGCUUGAGGACUGGAGAGGAGACUGGAAUUUACGGUGUAGCGGUGAAAUGCGUAGAUAUCGUAAGGAAGACCAGUGGCGAAGGCGGGUCUCUGGACAGUUCCUGACGCUGAGGCACGAAGGUCAGGGGAGCAAACGGG
rnacentral:rRNA from 1 species